CAACUUUCAACAACGGAUCUCUUGGUUCUGGCAUCGAUGAACAACGCAGCGAAAUGCGAUAAGUAAUGUGAAUUGCAGAAUUCAGUGAAUCAUCGAAUCUUUGAACGCACAUUGCGCCCGCUAGUAUUCUGGCGGGCAUGCCUGUCCGAGCGUCAUUU
rnacentral:rRNA from 1 species